rnacentral:rRNA from 1 species
CGGGUGAGUAACACGUAGAUAACCUACCUAUAAGACUGGGAUAACUUCGGGAAACCGGAGCUAAUACCGGAUAAUAUUUUGAACCGCAUGGUUCAAAAGUGAAAGACGGUCUUGCUGUCACUUAUAGAUGAUCCGCGCUGCAUUAGCUAGUUGGUAAGGUAACGGCUUACCAAGGCAACGAUGCAUAGCCGACCUGAGAGGGUGAUCGGCCACACUGGAACUGAGACACGGUCCAGACUCCUACGGGAGGCAGCAGAC